rnacentral:rRNA from 1 species
UCGAACGAGAAAGUGGAGCAAUCCAUGAGUAAAGUGGCGACCGGGUGAGUAACACGUGACUAACCUACCCUCGAGUGUGGAAUAACAUCGGGAAACCGAUGCUAAUACCGCAUAACAUCGCAAGAUCAAAGGAGCAAUCCGCUUGAGGAGGGGGUCGCGGCUGAUUAGCUAGUUGGCGGGGUAACGGCCCACCAAGGCGAAGAUCGGUAGCCGGCCUGAGAGGGCGCACGGCCACACUGGAACUGAAACACGGUCCAGACUCCUACGGGAGGCAGCAGUGGGGAAUUUUGCGCAAUGGGGGAAACCCUGACGCAGCAACGCCGCGUGGAGGAUGAAGCCCCUUGGGGCGUAAACUCCUUUCGACCAAGACGAUAAUGACGGUACUGGUGGAAGAAGCACCGGCUAACUCUGUGCCAGCAGCCGCGGUAAUACAGAGGGUGCAAGCGUUGUUCGGAAUUAUUGGGCGUAAAGGGCGCGUAGGCGGCGCGGUAAGUCACCUGUGAAAUCUCCGGGCUUAACUCGGAGCCUGCAGGCGAAACUGCCGUGCUGGAGUAUGGGAGAGGUGCGUGGAAUUCCCGGUGUAGCGGUGAAAUGCGUGGAUAUCGGGAGGAACACCUGUGGCGAAAGCGGCGCACUGGACCAUAACUGACGCUGAGGCGCGAAAGCUAGGGGAGCAAACAGGAUUAGAUACCCUGGUAGUCCUAGCCCUAAACGAUG